UACGUCGCUCCACUCGCCGUACUCCCUCCCUCUUCUCUCGCUCUCUCUCUUUCUCUCUCUCUCUCUCUUCCUCUUCUACCAUUACCAAGCUUCUCGUCUCUUCGUCAUCGUACUAGGGCAAACCGAGAGCGAUUCCUAACAUCGCCGACCGUCGUACGAAAGAACGAAGAGGAAGAGAAGAGGGGGAAGGUGGACACUCUCUCUCUCUCUCUCUCCCCUAUCUAUCUCUUUCUUUCUGUUGUGUGCUAAGCCAGCGCAAAAUUCUCUCCCGAUGGAAGAAAAACACCUUUACCAAUCCUCCUUCUUCUUUUUUUUUCUUCUUCCUCUUUCUAUCUCUUUUCUAAGGAUUUCCUAUCAUUUCAUCUUUUUUUCUCUUUGAAAUUCCACUUUCAGAUUGAAGUGCUAAGGAGAAAUAUAAGUCAUUGAAAUGCCUCAUAUAUGAAUGAUCGUUAUCGUAGGAUAUAAUAAGUAGUAAUUCUAAUUUUAUAGAUAUUUAAGUAGAAGAAUCGAGGCUAGUAAACCUUGGAGUUAGUUGAAUGUUCGUCAGUCUAAAGCGAAUCUUAUCGUGCAAAGAUGGCGAUAUUAUGGUACGGCAGGAAAGGGACUUCCUGCAAUUGCGGGAUGGACACACACGUUCGCGAACCGCCUCCUUCUUCUUCUUCUUCUUUUCUCUUUAGCCUUCUCCUCUUUUUCCCUUCUCCUCUUGCAUGACUAACCUAUAGUCAUAUUCGUCUUCGUCAUAACGCAGUGUCGCGUGGUUUUGCUUCGUAUCUUGUUAGGUUGCAGAUACAACAAUAAUACGUAUGUAUCUACGUAAAAAGUGAUUGGUCAGGUUGAAAUACCGAUAUCAUUUGACAAAAUCAGGUUUGUAACUACGUAAAUACGUAAGUAAAUAAGUUAUUAACAGGUUAACAUUGGAAAAAAUAACAACGACGAGGUGAUGGCAUAUUUACACACGACGAUGUUUAAUUCUGCGCUUAGUGUACAUGCGCGAAUUGCGUAAGCCAUCUUUGAAAGUUUACCGUUCCUCCGUUCGAGAAAAGCCUACGUUCGAAAUAAUAAGCUUACUUUAUAGAAAAAUAAUACGAGCAUUUGAAUACUCCCCAUUAAUAUGCAAAACGACACCACCCUAUUCCUAUUCUAAUGUCUUCUUUGAAAACAAUUCACUAAUGACUUGUGUUUCACACGUUAUUCUAACGCCCGUGCGCGUCUAAUGUCCUCCUUUUUAACCAUUUAGAAAGAUAAUUUAUGGAUUUUUUUAAUGAACGCGAAUAGAAUUUUCCACGUCAACGUUCAACGUUCAUGUUACUUCGGGCUUGCAAUAGUGUCGAUUAUGAUGAUAACUCUGUUCUCCUAUUCCUCCGAUUAAUACAAGAGAGAGAGAGAGAGAGAGAGAGAGAGAGAGGGAAAGAGAGAGGGAUAAAGGGAGGGAGAAGAGAGAAGGCAACGAUUACGAGGCCGCGUGGGUUCGAGGUCGCAGGCUCGAGUCACGUUAAGCGGUGAUUGCCGUCUCUGUCGUAGCCAAGGUGCCGUUAUUUUAAUGUAGAUACGUAGACCGGAUGAGAAUGAAAAGCUAGAGAGCGCAAGAGAAAGAGAGAGAGAGAGCGAGAGGGAGGAGAAAAACACAUUUUAUUAACGUAUACAGCAGACAAUAUCGAUAGAAAUGAAUAGUCGAUAUAUGUUAUUUCCUACCAAGUUAAUUCCUCCUCAUUUUUUAUACAUUUAUUUCCUUAGAUUCCAUAGAUUCCCCUAGAUUAUCGUUUAUCAACCAUACAUUUUUCAAACUACUCAACUCUUUUCGCUGAUGUAAUAUACGAAAGAACAUUUUCGAUAUAAAUCUGAUAAUAGAUACUUUGUAUAAUUAACGAUGCAACGACAUUAGAAACACCUGUAAGUUCCACGCCAUCUUUUCGCAACAUGGCCGAUCAUAGGAAAUCAAAAUGGACGCUGCAUUCGCCAUGUUCGAAGAAACUAAUGAAUUAGAGAAAAUUGUUAAGACAAAUUUGUGGACAUUGCAUUUCAUAUAUACCUACACAUGUUUAUAAAUAUAUAAUAAAUAUGGUGUGCCUAAAGUUUCUAAAUUUGUAGUUUUACAAUUUGAUCAGAAAAAAUUAAAAAAAAAAAGAUAAUCGAAAAGUUGUAAUUUGAGUUUUUAAAUAUAAUCCGAGGAGACAACUUUUUUCAUAAAAAAAAAAAAAAAAACCAUGGUAUAUACGGAUAAUAAUGUACACGUAUACACUAACAAAUGUACGCUUAUAUUUGUUGAAACUUUUCGAACAGGAUAGUAAGCGAAGAAUCUAGUGGGAGGUAGAGAGAAGAAUACAAGUAACGGUAGUCCAUAUUACGAUCGCCGCCGCGCCUAUAUUCUUGCUCGUGUCUUCUUCUGGGGGUCUCUCUUUCCCUCUCUCUCUCUUUCUCUGCAUGGAGAAAGCCAGUUCGAGUCUUUAGGUUAUGUUCUUCGUGCGUAUAGAGAAAGAGACAGAGAGAGGAAAAGAGAAGGGAAAGAGAAAAGAGAGGGACGUAUAUAUAUAAAAGAAAAAAGUAUAUACUGUAUUUCUACACAAUACUCUGUAACAUUGCACGUAUAUAUAUAUAUAUAUAUAUAGAUACGUAUGCAAAAGCUUGGUGCCUUGGUACUCUUGGAGGAAGCUACAUAAAAUGACAAAGUUCUAGCGACAGAAGAAGAAGAAGAAGAAGAAAUAGAAUAAGAAGAAUAUAGAUAAAAAUGUUAGAAAAGACUAGAAAGAGAAGGGGAAGGAAAAGUUAUCAUGCGAGCCAGUGGCGUAACAUCCGAAAAAACGCAUGAUCACUAGCCUCUCCCAUCUAUCUAUCUAUCUAUCUAUCUUUGUCUCUGUCUGUCUCUCUUUAUCUCUCUCUCUUUAGGCUUGCAAAGCCUUUAAAAAAGAUACCUCGUUAAGCGAGAAUUUCUUUUCUUUUCUAUGCAUUGUCUGCGCAGGUAGAGUCCACGUAAACAGGAACCGUAGCGCUUUUAACAAUGCACAUUUUUUUUCCUCCCCUUCUUCUUCUUCUUUUCCACCUCCUUCCGUGUCAGGCAAAGAACUUAAAGAGAAAGAGAACUAGAAGAGAACGACGAAAACGUACAAUAAGGCGUGGCGUAAAAACUACGCAACCGGUUCCUCUCGAGAGUUUCGCAGUAACUUCUCUUUCUCUUUAUCUGACGUAUAUAUUCUUGUUAUUACGAGAGAAAGAGACAGAUAAAUAGAUAGAGAUAGAGAUAGAGAUAAAGAUAAAGAUAGAGAUAGACUGGACUCAAAUACGUUCCCCGUUCGAAUACUAUUAAUACGUACGCGUAAUCUUUGCUUAUAUAUCUGCCGCAGCAUGAACUCUCACAACUUCUUGACUAAUUCAUAACUAGUUUCUUAACUGAUUAUUAUUUAUAGAACGUGUAUGUAAGAACAAGGAAUAAUAAAACAUAUUUAACUCUCAACUAUGUGUAAUAUUUAUUAUUAUAAAAUCUAAUCUAACUAUUGGAUUAUAAAAUUCCUAUUAAACCAAUGUUUUUUUUCCUCCCUGCAGAGAAUAAAGAAACAAAGAAAAGGAAAAAUAAGAUAAUAUCAUGCGAAAAAGGACAUUUCCAAAAAAGGAAAUGUCUGAGAAUAAUCUCCAUAUUUUUCUUCUUUUUCUUCUUACGUUUUUCCAUGCUUAGUAGAAAAGAAUUCGAGAGUUUUCUCAUAGGGAACAUAACCUAUAACGCAAGAGUUACGCCAUUGGAUGCGCGUGCAGACCGUGUGUGUAGCAGCCCAGCGGCAGCACCAGAGAGACCAGCAGAUACAGAACCUCUCCUAGUGGUUUAUAACGAGAAAGAGAAAGAGAGAGAUCUAUAUGUUGUAUGUAUACGUGUGUGGGUUGCAGCGAGGGGGAUAGUGGGGUUAUAGAAGAGAAGCAUGCUUUUUUCUUGAGCUCCCUUCUCUCCAUCCCAACGAUUUCACCGCGCUUAGCCCCAGCUAUGGAUUCUUCUUCUCUCUUCUUUCUACCUACUCUGUAAACGUUAAGCAAAACGUUCUCAGCAGCAGCCACGGGAAGAAGACUCUCUCCCUUUUUGCAGGUACAUACAAUACAUACAUGCUUAUGUACACACACGAAUGAUGCAUCUUCACGAAUAUCUACUGUAGUCAUAUUGGUUAGAGACUUGUGACACAAACGUUUCUCUAUGAUCGUAACAUUUUUUGAACGAAAAAGUUCUUGUUAAUUGUUUUUACAAAAUUAUCAACAAUUUGGAUCCUUUCAUGAAAUUGUCAUUAUUAUUAAUGACAGAAACAAGUAGAAUGGAAUAGGAACGUCUGUCACUAUUACCAAGAUAUUAUUUCUGGGACAGAAAAUGGCGAUAAAGCUUACAAUCAUUUGCAUGCUGCUGCCCACCAUGUCCUUUUCUCGGACCAAUUUCUUUUCAAAAUGAAAACUUCCUUCAUCAUCGUGUCUAUUGUCUUUCCUUUGGAUACUACAAUUACUAAUAUAUAUUUUUGUAUGGAACGGUUGAGAACCUUUAAGAAUAUCGCAGAACAAAAUCGAAACAUUCGUUCGAUUUUAUUUUUUUCUCCGCCCAAAACAAAAUUCCGAAGAAAUGUAUACGAUUUUUCCAUCCACUGUAUAUUUUUGUGAGAAUCGAGUUGAGCCGAGUCGAGUGAAUUUUUAGCGCGUAAAAGUGUAUCUGCAUCAGCAGACGCUUGCUUGCACACAUAGGCAUACACACAGAUACACACACAACAGCCUACACAUAUGUGUACGCACGAACGCAGAUGGAAGGUUGACAAGGCGCACAUGGCUGGUUUCGUUUAAUGGAGGUCGUUGAACUGUCAACGUGGCAAAGCUACGACUGAACUCUUCUUCCACGUCGGCAUAUUCAUCGCCGAAACAUUUUUUGUCGAUUGAGAACCACUGGGACCGUACUUUUCUCAAUCGUAGUAAAAUUAAAUCGAGUAAUUGUGAAUUUUCUUUUCUUUAGAAGGAACCAAAAUCACAGAGACGUUCGUAAAAUACAAAAUGGCGAAUAAUGUAAUCGUAUGAAUUUGCAAGCCGCCAUGUUUGUUUCACCAAUCAAUUCAACUCGAUGAUAUUGUCUUGAUAUAUUAAAAUAGAACUCAAUGCAAUGUAUCGUCAACAUUUUGUAAUAUAUAUAUAGUACAUUAUAUUUUAUUAUAUUUGUUGGUAUUUUUGAAGGAGUGCUUUAAAAUCGCGGAUAUUUACGUAUUGGAAUUAUUUUGUAGAUGCUAGGAUAUUUAUUUUCAUAAAAAGAAUCCCUUCAAUUCAUCUACCGUUACACCAGAAACUCGCUUGUAAAAGAGAGAGAGAUAUCUUCAGUAAUUUUACAGUCUCUUUACGAUGUCUAAAGAGUAAUAUAUUUUAUUCUAAGUGUCUUUCACGCACUCGAAGAAGAUAGGGUAAACGUUCGAAUGAUCGUAAAACGUUUACUUGAAUUCAAAAGAUAUCAAAAGAGUGAGUUAAAUGGGUUAACAUGUUUAUGAUUUUUUUUCUUUUUUUUUUUUUUUUUUAAGGAAGAAAGAAAAAAAAUUUUAUUAAAAGCAUGCGUGCGCGGAAUCACUUUUGUUAUCAACUGUACUUAGGUAUAACGUUAGAGUCUCAUACAUUUCCGCAAUCGCGUUUCUAAACAUGAGAGUAGUUGUCGUGUAUUUCCCCCACUUUUCGUUUUUCCUUGUGUCUACCUGUUCUAUCGACACCUUGGCACCUGCCAAGCUUAGAAAAUGGAACAAUAGCCAUGGAUAUAUAUAUAGAUAUAUGUUUCUUUCAUUUGUUCAACUUUUCACGAUAUAAUAUACCAAGGUCAUAGAUUUCCUUUGAACACUCUUAUAAAUACAGAAUAAAAAGAAAAAUUGUUAACAAUUAUACGAUAUAUAUAAUAAUAUAUAUAUAAUAAUAUUGUCUUCUUAUUUGUUUUCGUCUUUUUAACUUUUUUCUCUCCAAUAAAUGCAAUGUUGAAAUGUAUAAUCAUUGAAAUAUGGUAAAAGGUUAAGUUAGGUUAGGUUAUCGAGAAGCAAGCAUUGUAGGCGUUUAUACUUAGACGAUUUAUUCUUCGUCUAAGCGAAUUUGCAUUCGUCCCACUUUAUUAAACGACGAGAGGAAGAGAGAGAGAGAGAGAGAGAAAAAGAGAGAGAACCAGUCGUUUCUUAUUGGAAAACGUUCUAGAUCGAUGUGGAACGAGAACGUGUAGGUCAUCUAUGCUCCUUUCUAUGAUUUAUUCAAUGAAUCGUAUGAUUUAGUGGUAUUUCAACUCCGCUUACAUUCUCCAAGGCAAAAAACACGAAGCUGAUGUAUUAUUAUUAAGUUUUUCGAUUUCAUCGACUUAUCAUCAAUUUUGGUGGUUUUACAUUUCUUACAUCACAUUCAAGUUUAUUAGAUGUCAUUCUGCACAUUUUAUAAUAUAAAUAAGCAAUAGGAGAUGUCUGAAUCGGAUUGAUCAAAACAAAAAUGGAUGCCUCGUUAAUGAAAUUCAACAAAGUUCCACGAAGUUCUACGAAGUUUCACGAAGUUAUACGAAAACGAAUGGCUACAUGAUUCUUGAUUUUUUUUUCUCAUAUUCAAAAUGGCUCCCUACUACUCUCCCACGGUAUAACUAUUUCAUUUUCUAUUGAAUCAUCUAAGGGGAUUCGUAAGAAAGAAAAAGAAAAAGUAAAGAGAAGGAGGAAGAGAGAGAGAGAGAGAGAGAGAGAGAGAGAGAGAGAGAGAGAGAGAGAGAGAGAGAGAGAGAGAGAGAGAAGAGAGCAGUCUGCGCCUUGAAGAAAAUGAAAUUCUAUUACUUCCUGUUGACUGACAAAACAGAAGCCACCAGGGCGACGUUCGAGUGGCACCGACGAAAAUAGAGCGUCGUCAUUAAACGAAGGCACCAUCUAUAGAUUUAACGUCCGGUAUGCCACCCAUCGUGCCUCCAGGGAAAAUCGACUCAAUUUACACAGCAUUUUGUCCAGAACCACUAGGACCCAAUGAUGGUCCCUUUUAUUUGUUCAACGAGUUUCGGUACCAAUGUUAGGGACCUAAAUGAAAACGUGGAAUGAACACAAUUAACUUAGAAAAUUACUUCUCAAUAUUUACCUGAACAGUCUAAUCAUGCGAUCAUAGAAAUAAAUUUACAAUUUCUUUUUUUGUUUCCUAUUUGUUUGUGUCUUAUUCUUUUUUUUCUGUUUUUUAAUAUAAGCAAAACGUCGACACAAACGCGCGUGGAGCAGGUAGAAUGUUCGUUCGAAAAAUUGGAAUUGUAUGAAAGUUGAUUAUUUUAAUAGAAAUUCCAUUGUAUUAUAUAUUUAUCAGAUAUCAUGGAUCACAUAAAUCAUAGAUCAUAAAAAAAGGAUUCUACGAAGGAAUAUCGUUCGGGUCACUUCGCAGGACUCUCUCUCUCUUUCUCUCUCCGCAGUACCAUAUCGGCCGCGCCUGGAAAUAUUAAAGAAGAUAGUACAAUGUGAAGUAAGGGCUUUAAAAGCAUGCCUUUAAACCUGUAAGAAGCCUAAAAACGAAGAUGUCGACGACGCCGCAAUGAGGAUAUAUUAAUCCUAUUCGAAUUCUAAUUUACUCAAAAAUCUUGCUUCGUCGAAAUAAUGUGAUAAAAAGUCAACAGUAGAAAAGAUUUACAUGUAUCCUAUUCAAUCUUUCUAUUUCUUUUUCUCUUUCUCUCUAGAAUCGUAUUACGUAUCUCCGAUUUCGUUUCCAGUUACAAAUUACAUCUUGAAUCCUAGGGAUCUUGGAACAUAGCCAGAUGCAAUAACGAUUUCACACGAAAACGCGUGCUUCCUCGCGGAACACACAACGAACAAGAAUUAUCGAUAGUUUGUGCUAAAAGCAAAGAUGUGUUGGAUAUAUAUAUAUAUAUAUCUUAACGUGAUCUCAGAAAUACCUAUACGUUCGAACUAAAAUCGAUUAUUAAGCUAAACAAAAAUGGCCACGAGAUAUUUUGAAGUAAAAAAAGAAGAGAGAAAGAGAGAGAGGGAGAGAGAUAGAAUAUCUAACUUCGUAUCUGAAACGAAGGUGACAACUGAACAAGGACGAUGGUUCAGUCGAAAGAUCGUUUUGCCAAUUUAGACGAUGUUGCCAGUGUGACUUUUUGCCAUGUUACAUAAUCUAAAAGCUCCUUCGGUCUCUCUACAUAAGAUAAUUUCUAAGAUCAACAUUAUUAACAGAAUGGCAUCCCAAAAAGAAUUAGCAAAUCCAAGGAUAAUUUAUCGAAACCUUCGAGUAUUCUUCCAUAACUUCAAACUCAGCAAAUAGUGUUGAUUAUUAUAAUGAUAUUCGCAAGGUAUUAUUCAUUUUGGCUCAUUCGGAAUCGUGGAAUUGAUCAAAAUCAUUAUUGGGAAGAGAAAACAUAAAUAUUCAUUUACACGAGUUACGCCAUUAAAAAAAAAAAAAAAAAAAGAAAAGAAAAAAAAAAAAAAAGAAAAGAAAAAAAAAGAAAAAAGAAAUCCACAUUCAACGUUUCGCCUCAUGCGAAACGCUAGUUUCAAUGGGGCCCCCCUCACGAUGAACACAAAUUCUCUUUCCCUCUUUUCUCUUUUCUUUUUUUUCCCCUAUUUUUUUUUAUCGACAAUACUACCUUUUAUUUACCAGUGGAAUACAAUACGAUGCAAUCUCGCGGAACACCAUGGUGCUACGAUCAUCAUAGAAAUUCGUGUGAAAAGCGACAAAAGCGAAGUCGCUGUAUCCUUCUUCCUUUCAUUAAAUUUCGCGACCAACUAUAACUAACAACAACAACAACAACAACAACAACAACAACAACAAUUACCAGUGAGAGAGUUUCGAUUGAGAGCUCAUCCCAAAUGAUUCCUUUCUCGUAAUAAUUACGUUUUUGCUCGGAAACGAUUUUUCUUUUUCUCUUUUUUUUUUUUUCUUUUCGAUGUGUAUAUAACAAAUGUAAAAAAAUGGGCGCCAUAUUGAAGAGAUCUCGAUUGGUUAUGAAAUAAGACGCCAUUUUGAAGAUCUCCAAGUACGACUGAUCAAACACUCGUCGCCAUUUUUUAAAAUCAUUGUCUACAACAAAAUGGCGUCUGUGUGUCCUUCCUUUUAUUACAGUGUUCAAGAUCAUAGACAUUGAUUUAGAAAUGACGAAUCAAUAAUUUUCUUUCAGAAUCUACCAUCCUGAUAAUAUUGAUAUUUUUAAAAGGAUAAUGGACACUAUUACGGAAUAGAAAAUAUAACGGCGUACACAGUGUGCAGUCGAUGGUUCCAUAGAAGCAGUGAUAAUAGAAUCGAACGAUGACGAAAGGGAAUUUAUAUAUAAUGUAUAUGUAUGCAAGCAAAGUAGAUGUCGUGUACUUGGAUAAUCUCAUAUAUCCACACACAUAUAUACGCAGAAAGCUAACUACAGUUAAGCUACAAGUCGAAACGUUCUAGGUGUCUCUUGAAGAAUGUUUUCCAUAUAUUCGGUCUCAACAUAAACUGAUACAAUAUCUUGGACGUACCAUUAAAAAAAAACCUACUAUCUACUCUGUAUCAUCACUAAGAUAAAAUUAUUUUAAUUCAAAUAAUAUGAUUGAUUUUUAAGAAUUUUAUUAAUUAAGAUAUCAAUGUUAAACUACGUUUGAUCUAAAAGAAAGAAUUUAUUCGAUUCGAAACAGUAACCGACUGUGUGUAUGUGUGUGUGUGUAUCUACUGCCAAGUAUUUAUUUAUCGUCGACCAUAUCUGUCCUUGCUAACUUCACGGACAAACAUCGGAGAGGGUCACCUGCCACGAUGACGACGACGAUAGCUCUUCCCUGCGCGACAGAAGUAAAUGUUUACUUCAUUGUUCUCUCUCUCUCUCUCUCUCUCUCUCCCUCUCUCUUCGUCUCUUUCCCUCUUCCUCCCCUUCUCUCUUUCUCUUUAUCUUUCUCUCUCUUUUCCACCCUUUUUCUUUUUCCAAUUUAUAUCCAGAAAUAAAAUGAAAUACAGAAUAGUAUUUCCUAUCAUUUUUUCCCCUUCAAGGAAAAAAACAAAAAAAAAAAAAAAAAAAAAAAAAAAAAAACGAAGUGGAAUGGCAAUCUCCCACUUGACCUAACUAUUGUGCUUGUUCUAAGAUUAUCGAUGAUCGCUUAUAAAGUUUUGUCAUCGAUAUCAAAACCGCAGCAUUCCUUUUUUCCUUCUCAUCUUAAAAAGACGUUUUAUUAAACGAGGAAAAAGGAAAAAUGGUUUUUCUUUUUUUUUUCUUUCUCUCUGGUUUUUUCCUCUUUUUUUUUUUUUUUUUAUUUUAAUUCAAACAAGACAUCUUUAUUGAUAGAAAACUCGUCGAAUAAACUAGAGUUUAAAUAGACGAAGACGAUAAAAGCAAUCGACGAUGUCUAUUUUCGUUUCUCGAUCUCUCAAGUACUUGAUGGUAGAUAGGUAGGUAGGUAGGUAGGUAGGUAGAUAGGUAGGGUAGAGACUGGUACUUGAGAGAAAGCUUUUGAGCGUUCUUUCUUAUUCGUGUGUACUGAGAGAAUGACGAGUAAAUUCGUGAGGGUAUUCCUGCGAGAUUGAAGGGACGAAAGGAAAAAAGAAGAAAAAAUAUAAAAGAAAGGAAGUGAUGGAAGGAAGGGAUGAGGAAGCGGAGAGAGGGGGAGAGUCCAUGAUGUAUUUCGAUACGUAAAUAAAUACAAGGUCGAGGAGACGAACGUUUCUCGGUUAUAAAGGACUAAGUAUAUAUACAUAUAUAUAUACAUGUGUGAGGGUAUAUACGUCUGGGGAUAUGUAUGCGAGCGCGCGCUUUGCAUCUGUACAUGUCCUUUGUGUGUGUGUGUUGCGUGGUGUGUGAGGAACAGAGGGAAAGAGAUAGAGAGAGAGAUUGCCGUGCAUAAUUGUCGUUGGAAAAGUAUCGGACGUUUGGCGAGUGCGCGUAGCACAGCAACUGGGAGUACAUAGAAGACAACGAUUUUCCUGGAAUCGAACGAGAGAGAGGCGCGUGCGAGCGAGAGAGAGAGUUCCAGGGUUCACGCUCGGCAACGUCGCCAUAUAUCGACCCAGCUGUCGCUCUGGGGGAAGAGACUGGGACACGACCGGCUCCGGUCCCAACAAAAAUCUAAUUCUUCCAUCUCCCUCACCCUCUCUCUCUCUCUCUCUCUCUCUCUCUCUUCUACUCCUUCUCCUCCUUCUCCUUCAACAAAGACUUUUUUUAUCCGGUGCCUCUCGUUAUCCGUUUCUCUUUCCUUGCUUUUCAUACUUAAUACGGUCGAUAAUGAUGUACAUUCGAACUGUAGUAGUAUAGACGAGAAAAAACCGUACAUACGACAUUUUGAUAUAUGUUAUAUUAGAUAUAUAUAUAUAUAUAUAUACAUAUAUAUCUAAAUAAUAUUAAUGAAUUUUUUCGAUUAACAUAGGAAUGACAGUCUAGGAAGUAAAUAGGUAGAUAGAUAGAUGAUAGAUAGAUAGAGAGAAGGAGAAAAGGUUCCAUUUUCUAAUGUACUUUUCCAUUAAACUGGGAAGUACUUUGACGCAUUAAUUCUUUAAAGCAGAGAUCGAGCACGAUAUCCGCGUUCUAUUUCGAUCGGUCGGAUGGACAGACGGACGGACGGUGAGGUGGAGCGGUCGAGAAAAGAUUCGCGACCCCGGCACCCACCACCACCACCACCACUACUACUACACUACUACUACUACUGCUUCUACUACUAUUACUACCAUCACCACUACUACCACUACCAUCACUACCACCACUACCAUCACUCUCCACCUCCACCCACUUCCAGAGCAAAGCUCCAGAACAUCACCGGCGGCAGCAGCAGCAGCAGCAGCAGCAGCAGCAGCAGCAGCAGCAGCAGCAGCAGCAGCAGCAGCAGCAGCAAGAGCAGGAGCAGAAGACCUAGGUAUCCCAGCAAUAACCCCCGAUCCACUAGUGGGAGCUGGUGUCGCCACCAUCAUCACCACCACCGACCUCUCCACGUCUGCCACCGUUCGCGAUUCGACCAACCCUCGACGAGAUUCGAAUCCAAGCCAAACGUUUCGUACACACAAAUACACACACAUAGGGCUACGAGCUGCUACCCUCUUUGCCUGUGAACCUAACUCAGCGCACGCGGCAACCACCCCCUCUCCUACUACUUUUCUUUACCAUCUCUCUUUCUCUAUCCCUAUGUCCCCCACUACCUUUUUACUUUGACUAUCUCUCUCUCUCUCUCUCUCUCUCUCUCCCUCUAGCUCCUUUUCGAUGGAUUCUCACACCCUCGCGGCACGUUUCAGCUACACCCCUCUUCUCCCUUCUCGUUUCUCCAAUUCCACUCAUCCUCCCUCCAAACGAUCAAAUCUUUCUCAGCUCUCACCCCAUAUAUCCCAACAGCCCAUCCCCUUGCCGCCCGCUACUUCCCCCCCUUCCAACCCUUCUCUUUCUU